GAGAGUCAAGCGGCCUGGAUUCCGCGAUGGACAGGUUCUUUUGUGUUGCUGGGAACACCGGCGGGUUAUCGUUAAUGUCCCUCACCUCCACGUCCACAUGGAAAACCUGCAGCGGCCUGUCUACGAUCACCUCCAGGUGGAUGCUGCACUCCGCGCUCCGCCGGCACAGCUCCUCCCGGUCGAUCCGAGAAUUCACAAACAAAAUGCCAUUCUGCAGAUUUACCUCCAGAAGGCCUCCGCGGCCCUUGGACGCCACCCGGAACAGGCGCGGCACCAGCUCCGCCAGCUCCAGUCCCAGGUCCUGCGCGAUGCGGCCCACGAAGGUGCCGUGUUUGGCCUCCUCGGAGACCGAGUAGUGGAGCUGACCGUUCCCUGCCUCCCAGGCUGCGAGGAGAAGAAGUAAGAGCAGCAGACGCCGGGAUUCCUGGCCGCUUCCCCAGGAAAACUCCAUCUUUAGUGCACAGUAUUUUGUUCUGAUUAAAUAUCGUUUCUCAAAGUCAAGGGAAAUCUUUUAAUCGGUCAGUCAAGUGCAGCUGCAUCCUCCAUAUUUCAGACUCCAAAGAGUGUAUAUGGUUCCUUCCAGUAAGAAUAGAAGGAAUUUUCCCUUCUUCCUCCUUCUCUCAUGUAUUUUGUGGUAAAGAGCGACAUCAUGUGGCUCCAAACCAGGAGUGGAAACAUUGAGGAAUGAAAAACAAAGACAUUUUGGAAAGAAUAAAUAAAAAUUACUCACUUUGGCUGAGAGAUCAACGUCCACAUCCUGUUUCUCCUCUCUAUCCCGGCUAAUUGGACAAGGAGGAAGGCUAGGGCUAAAAGCCAUGAGGUCGGUCUUGGGCAACCCCUCUCCAGAGCACACCCUCUGCUGCCUCUGCUGCGAGUAUGACCAGCUCCCCACCGCGCUGGAGCACACCAGCGUGGGCUUGCCCGGCCCACAGUCGCCUUCGGUUGGCGGCGCGGAGCACCGCAGAGCAGUAUAUAGCAGCAGUGUGAGCACCAACAGACUGGACACCGCGCAGAUGGCGACGAUCAAGUACACGUUGACAUCCACCAGUGCAGCUUCCGGGCCCGUGGCGCCAGCGGACGCCUGGGACGAGGCCUUGGGUGCCUGGCCACUCUCCACCAGCGACACCAGCACAGUGGCCGUGGCGGUCAAUGAGGGUUCACCGUGGUCCUUCACCAGCACCAGUAGGCGAUGGCGCGGGGCGUCCACCUCGUCCAGGGCACGGGUCGUGCUGAUCUCUCCCGUGUACAGCCCCACGCGAAACGGGAUGCGCGCACCGCCGGUCCCAGGCUGCAGCUCAUACGAAAGCCACGCGUUGUAGCCUGAGUCUGCAUCCACUGCGCGCACCUUCGCUACCACGUGGCCCGCACCCACUGACCGCGGCACCAGCUCGCUCACUGCGCCACCGAUGCCACCCACCCGAGGCAUCAGCAGUGCCGGCGCGUUGUCGUUCUCGUCCAGCACGAACACCUGCAGCGUCACGUUGCUGCCCAGAGGCGGCACGCCCGCAUCGCGCGCACUCACCUGGAACUGCAGCAGCUCUAGCUCCUCGUGGUCCAGCGGCUGCAGCGCGUACACCUUGCCGCUCUCCGCGUGUACCGACACGUAGCUCGACAGCGCGCGCUCCCCCACCCGCCGUUCCACCAGCGAGUAGGACACCAGGGCGUUCUCCUGCGCGUCCGCGUCCCGCGCAGACACCGUGAAGAUGUGGCAGCCCGGCGGGUUGUUCUCCUUCACGAACACCGUGUACUCGGACUGCGAGAAUGCCGGCGCAUUGUCGUUCACGUCGGCCACCUCCACGGACACGCUGGCCGUGGCCCACAGUGAAGGCGAGCCCCCGUCCCGAGCAGUCACCACCAGCUCAUAGGCCGACACGCUCUCGCGGUCCAGAGGGCUGUCCAGCACCAAUGAGUAGUAAUUCUUGAAGGUGGACACCAGCUUGAAGGGGACGUGGGGCGUCAGCGAGCAGGUGACCUGUCCAUUGACUCCUGAGUCGCGGUCGGACACGCUGAUCAGAGCGAUGACUGUGCUAAGUGGAGAGUCUUCUAAUACAGGUAAAGAUAGUGAUUGAAUAACUAACUCAGGUACAUUAUCAUUGAUGUCCACAAUUUCGAGUAGAACUGUGCAGUGAUCUGACAUUGGGGGAUUUCCUUUAUCCGUGGCUUCUACCUGGAUUUCAUAUGACUUACUUUCCUCGAAAUCUAUGUUACCCUUUACACUGAUUUGUCCAUUGACUGGAUCUAAAUGGAAUUUUGACAGAAUAUCUGCUGACAUGUCCGUAUUGAAAGAAUACGCGAUAUCCUUAUUUACUCCUUCAUCCAAAUCGGUGGCGUUAACGGUCACCACUAGGGUACCAUUUGGUGCAUUUUCGAGUAAUCUGACUUUAUAGAUCGUCCUCUCAAACGCUGGGGCGUUGUCGUUUACAUCUAAAACAGUGAUCUUUAGUUGAGUCGUGCCAGUGAGCUCUGGUUUCCCACCAUCAAUUGCUGUUAUUAGUAAAUAAUGCUUAGGAGUGUCCUCUCGAUUUAAAUUUUUUUUCAACACGAGUCCAAGGGAUUUAAUUUCCUCAUCAUUUCUUUUAACGUCCAAGGUAAAAUAUUCAGUGGAAUCAAGACUGUAAGUCAACAACGAAUUUGUUCCGAUAUCUGCAUCUGAUGCGCCCUCUAGCGAAAACCGAGAGCCAGGCUGUCGGGAUUCGGAAAUAAACAGAUUCUUUACAGCCAUUGGAAAAACUGGCGCGUUGUCAUUAAUGUCCUUCACUUCCACCUCCACAUGGAAAACCUGCAGCGGCCUGUCCACGAUCACCUCCAGGUGGAUGCUGCACUCCGCGCUCCGCCCGCACAGUUCCUCGCGGUCUAUCCGAGAAUUCACAAACAAAAUGCCAUUCUGCAGAUUUACCUCCAGAAGGUCCCCGUGUCUUUUGGACGCCACCCGGAACAGGCGCGGCACCAGCUCCGCCAGCUCCAGCCCCAGGUCCUGCGCGAUGCGGCCCACGAAGGUGCCAUGCUUGGCCUCCUCAGAGACGGAGUAGUGGAGCUGGCCGCUCCCCACCUCCGAGGCUGCGAGGAGCAGAAGAGAAAGCAGCAGGCACUGGGCUCCAGGAUCUUCUCGCCAGGAGAACAACAUUGCAAAGAGGAUGAAGCAAAGCAGUAUCUGAAUACGUAAUGCACGCUGUUAUUUCUUUUGUGGAGAAAGACCUUGUGGUGGACAGCGACAUCAUGUGGCUAAACGUGUAAGUAUUAAAUAUGUAAACGUAUCUUCUUUUCCUUGUAUGUCGUUUGAACUUUCCCAAAAUUUCUAGUUUCAAUUGUAAUAUCCUUCGGUCACUCCUCAAAGUCCUUAUAUUUUAUCUAAAUAUUUCCUUAGAACUUUUAUACUAAUUCACUAUCAAUUGUGCUAAUUCAUGACAUACACUAAAAUAUUGUGAUUCCUGUUUUAACAGUGGACAUCUAUUGGAAAUAUUUCCCAUGUGACAGCCACUUUUCUAUUUGUCUUAAUGGAAUUAUCCCGUUAAAUUAUCACAAUCCUCUGAAAUAAGUUUUAAUAUUAUUCGCUUUUUAUAAACACAUAGAGGUUAAGUAAAACGAUAUUAUCUCUUGGUACGAUGGGAUUUCAAUCUGAUUCAAGACAACUUACCAUUAACCUCUUUACCACCCAAGUUACAUUUUAUAGAAAAAUCAGAUCCUUUCAGAUUUAUGAUCAUCAAAACAUUGAGAUGUUGAAGUAUUUAAAAGUGUGUGUGUGCUGUAUAUAUUAAAACAUACAUAUAUCUACUUUUAUGUUAUUACAGCAACUGUUAAUUUCUUAAAAUAUGUACAUUUAUGGUUUUUUAAAUUUGUAGAAUGUCUGUAAUUCCCUCCCAUGCCCCUUUUUCAAGAACUAUAGCCUCAUCAACUGUCUUGACUGUAACUUACAUAAAGAUUUCAGAAGUCGGUCCUUUACAGAGAAAUUCAAACAGGAAAUUUGUUUCCUAUUGUGGGAAUGUGAUUUGUAUAUUUGUUACACUCACAUCACAUCAAUUAAGAAUAUAUUAGGUUUAAUUUUUCCACACUCUUUAUGUAUUUGAAUUUACCUGUAUAUACUAAAAUGUUAACAAUAUAAAGUAAUUACGUUUUUGAUGAUCUCCACUCCUGAUGAAUUUCUAGAUUCCAGUUUUUUUAAAAGUUGUUACUUGAAAGAAUUGAUUAUUUAACUAAACAGUGAAGGGAGAAAAGUAACCUAGGAACAUAAGCCAGUAUUUACUCAACAUAUUUAACACUAAGCAAUAAAACAUUCUAAAGAUAUCUGUGAAUUCAAUGAGAAGCAUGAAUUCUCGCCGCAUUUGGAAGUGGGGCAAAGAAAAUUUAUGGAAAGAGGUCAAAUUUAGAGAAAUAAAAUAAUGUACAAAUUUUUGCUUAUACCCAGACCAUUUAAAAAUGAAAUCAAACAUGUGAUUUAAAUAUUUAGGGGAAAAGUUUUCAUUUCAGCUUUUGUUUCCUGUGUAUUCAUGAAAUGGAAGCCAGGACUGCAACUUACUCAGAUUUUAUCAUUCAUAUUUAGAAUAGGAUAAAUUAUCAAUUGUUGUUUUCAUGAAUAAAUAAAUUAAUAUUUUGAAUUAACUUUUUCAAGCAAGAUAAAUAAAAAUGUAAGUUAAUGAUAUUUGUUAAUAUCAAACUUACAUAAUUUCUAAAUGAUUAUAUUGUGCUAUAUUAUGAAGAAGUAAGUAAACAUUUAAGCAUUAUUUCUGAAAAGCAUGGACCUAAGAAAUAAUUAUAGCUAUUAAUAUUCCAGUUACCACUUUGCUGAAUUUUUAAAGAUGGUAGCUAGUUUGAAAAUAAGAGAUAAAUUUAAAAUUUUUAAACUUCAUGGACUUCAUAGUAAUGAGAUGCCUUUGACAACUUAUUGUAAUACUGCACUUUUCAGUACCUUUAAGAGUUAUACUAAUUGCAAAAUGGAAUGUCACAUGAGAAUUUAUAGCAGAGUAGACUCCAUACUGAUUAUUAAGAGAUAAAGGUAAUAUUAAAGGAACUAUGAGUUUAGAAGAUUGAGCCAUUUUGUAGAUAAAGUAUCAGUGAAUAAUUUCUACUACCACCUAGAUGUCACUUAGACAACCAAGAAAAAAUGUAAAUAAGAAUGUUUUGAAAAAACUUAUAGAGCAACAGAUUGUGACUCCUGGAGAUUUGGAUAUAUGUGAAUAUAAUUUUAGAAGCUUAUCAUUUACCUAUGGUAGAAACAUAGUGGUCAAGUAUUACUUGGAAAUGGAUAUUCUGACCUAACUAUGAAAUGGCUAAAGGUAAGAUCACUAGUGGAAGUUAUUUCUAUGAUUUAUCAAUAUGCACAUAUAUUUAGAAUAAACAGCAAAUAACUAAGAACUAAAUAGUAGAGGACCGUUUAAGACAGUUAUUUUAUUGCAAUACAUCUGCCUUUGGUUGGAAAAGCUAAAAAAGUUCUUUCCAAGUGUAACAUUUACUUGUCGAGUUCAGUGUUAUAAUUACCCAAAAUAAAUGUUUCAAGUGAAAAUGUAGUCAUCCAAGACCAGGCCUCAUCUUUUGGAAAAAUUCCAAUUUCAUUAGGAAUAUGGAUGCUUCCAGGUAAAAUUGAGUGAGCUCACAUUAAUGGAAAAUGUAUUCCCACGCAUAGAAUUAGAUGCCAGAAAAAAGUAGUCAAUCUCUGCAGUGGGAGGCCUGCACACAUUGGCCUAAUGAUAAUGAUACUGAAAGGAUGAUUUAUCAACCAUUAACAUAAAGACUGGGUAGUCUCCACUUAAAUGAAGAAAAAGUCCCACCACCUGAAAAACCCCAGUGUGAUUUUUAAAUGUUAAUAUUUUCAAAUUAAACAAAAUUGAGAGGGUCUCUUUUCUCAAUACUCUCUAUUUUUGCCUGAUAACUCAAAAAUGUUAUCAGUGUGAAAUCUUUAUACCAAAUAAUGGGUUAUUUUACUUAUAAAAAACAUACUUAAGAUUAGCAGUUAUUCCUAAGUGCUGUCAUUUUGUUGUAACAACCUGUGCUACAUACUUUUGGAAAUUCUGGUGUUAAAAUAUCCACUCAGGCUGCUUUCAAAUACAAAUAAAAAGACCAGGUGCAGUGGCUCACUCCUGUAAUCCCAGCACUUUGGGAGGCCUAGGAGGGUGGAUCACUUGAGGCCAGGAGUUUGAGACCAGCCUGGCCAACAUUUAGUUGAGACCAACCCCGUCUCUACUAAAAAUAAAAAAUUUAAAAAAGAAAAUAGCCGGGCGUGGUGGUGGGCGCCUGUAAUCCCAGUUACUAAGGAGGCUGAGGCAAGACAAUCACUUGAACCCGGGUGGCAGAGGUUAUAGUGAGCUGAGAUCACACCACUGCACUCCAGCCUAGGUGACAGAGCAAGACUGUCUCAACAAAAACAAACAAACAAAAAAAAAAUGUAGCUUAUUAACUAUUGCAUAGACAAGGGCAUUGUUGAUCCAAAGAACAAUCUAAGAAAUGUCCAGGAUAUAGGUUAUUCCAAACACUAUCCGACAGAUUGGAUAGACAGUGUCAGUUGAAAAUACGUAUUAUAUAAUCAAAUUCUUUAAUUUCUUCCGAUUGUGAUUUUCAAUUUUUAAGAGAGAAAAUAUUUAUGGGAAAUGUUUAAUUUACAAAUUUUGCUGAGGUGUUUUUCAGUGUUUCAUGGUCUAUUACUUAUGACUUAAUGAUGGAAGUGCCAAAAUGUAAAAAUAAGAAAACAGUUAUGUAGAUUGUUUAAAUAAAUUGUUCAGUAAAUGCAA